rnacentral:pre_miRNA from 1 species
AUUCAAAUCACCUUAGGAUCUUGUGAAAAUGUGGAUUCUUGUUUGAGAGGCCUGGGGUGGGGGCAUGAUUCUAUAUUUCUAACAAGCUUCUAUUAAUGUUUAU